ACGCUCGACACCUACGGGGGCAGCAGUCGGGAAUAUUGCGCAAUGGAGGGAAACUCUGACGCAGUGACGCCGCGUAUAGGAAGAAGGUUUUCGGAUUGUAAACUAUUGUCGUUAGGGAAGAAAAGGACAGUACCUAAGGAGGAAGCUCCGGCUAACUACGUGCCAGCAGCCGCGGUAAUCUGAGGCGGGCUGGCAAGGC
rnacentral:rRNA from 1 species